rnacentral:lncRNA from 1 species
UGACUGCUCUGUGCGCGCUCCGCCCGCGGGCGUGACUGCUCUGUGCCCACUCCUCCGCGGGCGUGACUGCUCUGUGCGCGCUCCGCCCGCCAGCGUGUGUGCUCUGCAUGUAGGACUAUGAGGACGACUUCGAGGUCUGUGACUGGGCCGACGACGACUGCGGGGCGGACGAGGCCAAAGAGGGAGAGGCAGCGGAGGAGCUGCCUCCGGCCAAGAGGAGGGAGAUCCAGGAGAUCCAGAAGGCCAUCCUCGCGGAGAACCAGCGUGUCGGCGAGCUGUCCUCGAAGCUGCUCGAGAAGCACGGCUGCCUGGAGCGCGCUGGGGGGCCGGGCCCGGAUACAAACAGCUCCCCUUCCAAACCCCCCCUGUGUGGAAUUUUCGUGGAUUUUGCCACAGCCUCACACCGUCAAAAGAAUCGGACUCAGGCCAUUAAACAAAAGAUGCGCAGCGCAAAGCUGCUGCGGCUCAUCGACAUGGACUUCUCCUUCACCUUCUCCCUGCUCGACCUCCCGCCCGUGAAUGAGUACGACAUGUACAUCCGGAACUUCGGGAAGAAGAACACCAAGCAGGCCUACAUUCAGUGUAAUGAAGACAGCGUGGACCGGGACAUCCAGACCGAGGAAGUGGAGACUCGGGAAGCGUGGACCCAGCACCCGGGGGAAGGCGCCGCUGUGUCCGGGGGUAACGGCCUCUGCUCUCAGCCCUGGCGGUCA